rnacentral:rRNA from 1 species
CCCUUAGAUGUUCUGGGCUGCACACGUGCUACACUGGCAGGUUCAGCGAGCUUCAUGCCCUGAUCUGAAAGGAAUGGGAACUCUUUUCAAAACCUGCCGUGCUUGGGAUAGAUGUUUGCAAUUAUUCGUCUUCAACGAGGAUUGCCUUGUAAGCGCACGUCAUCAGCGUGCAUUGAAUACGACCCUGUAUUCUGUACACACCGCCCGUCGCUCCUACCGAUUGAAGUUUUCGGUGAGUUGACAGGAGGAUUUUUUUGAAACUGGUUCGCCAGUGGAUUUUAGAUCCAAAUGCCAACGAAUCGAUGGCUUUAGAGGAAGGAGAAGUCGUAACA